rnacentral:rRNA from 1 species
GGGAAACCGGGAUUAAAACCUGAUGAAACUAUCAAAUCACAUGAUUAAGAAAGUUAAAACUCCGGUGGUAAAAGAUGGACUCGCGUCCCAUUAGCUAGUUGGUGAAGGUAACGGCCCACCAAGGCAACGAUGGGUAGCCGGCCUGAGAGGGUGAACGGCCACAUUGGAACUGAGAAACGGUCCAAACUCCUACGGGAGGCAGCAGCC